GUGUCAGCAGCCGCGGUAAGACAGAGGGUGCAAACGUUGUUCGGAAUCACUGGGCAUAAAGCGCACGUAGGCGGUCCGUUAAGUCAGAUGUGAAAGCCCCCGGCUCAACCGGGGAAUUGCAUCUGAUACUGGCGGGCUCGAGGAUGGCAGGGGUGAGCGGAACUCCAGGUGGAGCGGUGAAAUGCGUAGAUAUCUGGAGGAACACCGGUGGCGAAAGCGGCUCACUGGACCAUAUCUGACGCUGAGGUGCGAAAGCUAGGGUAGCAAACGGGAUUAGAAACCCCCGUAGUCC
rnacentral:rRNA from 1 species